GCUGCGCCUGGCCGGGGAGAGGAUGCUGACAGAGGGAGUCCCCUCCCUGGCCUUCUGCGGGCAGAGGUUGAGGGAAGGAGAAGGUUCUGGAGGGGAUUGCAAGGGGAGAGCCUAGAGUGCUGGAACCUUCUCCCACCAGUGCACAUUCUACCGCCUCCUUGGUGAAGUCGUUGCUAACUUGGACUUCUAAGGCCUUCCCAUGCCUGACCUGGCCUCACUGUGUCAACACUAAAGGCUGGAUGAAGGGUAUCUCCACUGCACCCCAUGCCACUCUGCCCAGGCCUAGAGCUGUACAGAGGCGUGGCCCUUAGAGGAGACGAAGAUGGGGCCCAGCUGGAAGGGGCUGAGAGGUCAGCUGGUCGACCAGUCCCUUCUCAAAGAAGCCAACUGGAGCUCAGAGAGGUGGAACAGCCAAACCACACGGGACAUUGAGGCUGAGUCAGGACCAGAAUCACACAGGUCUCGAGACCCCCACACCCAGAGGCAGCUUCAAGAGGCAGUUGCUGCUCAGGAUGGAAGCUUCUCACCGGGAGCCUUGUGCAGCCUGACUGAAUCCAGCCCAGGCCCUGGAUGAGGGGGCAGAGCCAGGCAGGUUCCCAUCCCCCCUCCCUGCUGUACUGUGGUGGACACUCGAAUCCAUAAUGGCUUAUAGCUCUGGGCUGGGAUCUUUCUUAUCAAAACCCUCAGAACUGCCCAGCUCUGCCUGGAGGGACGGUAUUCUAUCGUGUUAGUAAGUGUGCCACUUACUAUGGUGUGCUGUGUGAUCUUAGUCAAGAAACUUAACUACUCUGUGCCUCUCUAAACUCAUCUGUGAAGGAAGGGGUGGUGGAUAACCUACUUUAUCACAUAUGGUCAUUAUGGGAUGAAAUAAGCCCCUCAGUGUCUGGAAUACAGUAAUGGUAAA